rnacentral:ncRNA from 34 species
GUAGGUGAACCUGCGGAAGGAUCAU